GACGAACGCUGGCGGCGUGCUUAACACAUGCAAGUCGAACGGAAAGGCCCUGCUUUUGUGGGGUGCUCGAGUGGCGAACGGGUGAGUAACACGUGAGUAACCUGCCCUUGACUUUGGGAUAACUUCAGGAAACUGGGGCUAAUACCGGAUAGGAGCUCCUGCUGCAUGGUGGGGGUUGGAAAGUUUCGGCGGGUGGGGAUGGACUCGCGGCUUAUCAGCUUGUUGGUGGGGUAGUGGCUUACCAAGGCUUUGACGGGUAGCCGGCCUGAGAGGGUGACCGGCCACAUUGGGACUGAGAUACGGCCCAGACUCCUACGGGAGGCAGCAGUGGGGAAUAUUGCACAAUGGGUGGAAGCCUGAUGCAGCAACGCCGCGUGCGGGAUGACGGCCUUCGGGUUGUAAACCGCUUUCGCCUGUGACGAAGCGUGAGUGACGGUAAUGGGUAAAGAAGCACCGGCUAACUACGUG
rnacentral:rRNA from 1 species